GACUGCGUAGCUCAGUUGGCAGAGCAUUGGGCUAGUAUUCCAAAGGUCGUAGGUAAGUAGGUUCGAUUCCCACCGUGGCCA